rnacentral:rRNA from 1 species
GACGAACGCUGGCGGCGCGCUUAACACAUGCAAGUCGAGCGAGAACCGGGGCUUCGGCCCCGGGGAAAGCGGCGAACGGGUGAGUAACACGUGGGCAACCUGCCCUCGGCACCGGGAUAGCCCGGGGAAACCCGGAUUAAUACCGGAUGGCCUCCGGAGCCCUCGGGCGCCGGAGAAAAGGUGGCGUCGGCUUCCGGCUGAGGAGGGGCCUGCGGCGGAUUAGCUUGUUGGUGGGGUAACGGCUCACCAAGGCGACGAUCCGUAGCUGGUCUGAGAGGACGAUCAGCCACACUGGGACUGAGACACGGCCCAGACUCCUACGGGAGGCAGCAGUGGCGAAUUUUGCGCAAUGGGCUAACGCCUGACGCAGCAACGCCGCGUGGAGGAUGAGGGUCUUUGGAUUGUAAACUCCUGUCAGCGGGGAAAAAGCGACUCGUGCUCAUACCACGGGGAGCUGAUUGUACCCGCAGAGGAAGCCCCGGCUAACUCUGUGCCAGCAGCCGCCGUAACAC